GGGGUGACUAGUGACAGAGUGAGAGAGAGGGUGACUAGUGACAGAGUGAGGAAGGGGGUGACACAGUGACAGAGUGAGGGAGGGGGUGACUAGUGACAGAGUGAAGGAGGUGGUGACCGUCACUAGUCAGCCCCUCCCUCUCUCUGUCACUAGUGACACCCUCCCUCACUCUGUCACUAGUCACCCCCUCCCUCACUGUCACUAGUCACCCCCUCCCUCUCUCUGUCACUAGUGACACCCUCCCUCACUCUGUCACUAGUCACCCCC